UCAGGAUUCUCAUCUGUCUCUUCACCCCUGAGGAAGCCUUGCAAGGCCAGCAACAAGCAGUUACUGGAGAGAGCCAAGCACAUGAUGAAAACACAGAUUAAUGACUGCAGGAGCUGUUCUUUUUGUGUUGCAGUGAGUCACCGUGCCUGGAGCAGGGGGAGCAAUUACUCUGACUCAGAGAGGGGAGGAAGAGCCUGAAUUUCUGCUCUGAGUUCAGAUCUGCACAGUUGAUGUUUUUGUGCCAGCACUGACUCCGGGUGAGCCGUGUGAGGCUGUCAGAGUGCUGAGGGCCAGCAGAGCCGGGCCCUGGGGAGGAGGCCACGUCCCACACCUGCAUUUCUAAAGAAAGCUCUGUUGCUGGGCUCUCUGUCACACAGCUUGGGUUAUUUUCAGCCCCAGGUGGCCGCGGGGAGCUGAGGCUCAGAGCUGCAGGAACAAGGUGUUUACAGAGUUGUUUCCUCCAGCUUUGCAUUUGACACUUGCAGUCUUGGCUCCUCUUCUGCUGUUCCAUGGAGCUGCUGAAAUCCAUUUUCUGCAGCAGGUGCAGUGCAAAUUCCCCUGUCUCAGUGCUGUGGAGUGAGGCCUGCCCUGAGAACCUGCUCGGCCACACCCUGUGCUGACAGAGAGGAGCAUUCCUCACCUGCAGCUCAACCCGCGGCCCUGGAUUCUCUCAUUUUCAGCGCUCUUUGUGCUGCUGCACAAAUUCCUGCCGACCUCUUCGCUCCUUGCUGGUGCUCUGGAACUUUUUGAGUAUUUUUGUCCCUUCAGUCCUAAAUUCAAGCUCUUGAAAUGAACCCUUUGCAGACGUGCUGCUGUGAGCUCUCUGCAGCGUGUGCCACCAUCUGAGGGUGCAGCAGUGCUGCCCGGGGGUUGAUUUUCCUGGCCGGGCAGCCUGGGGAGGGCUGUGUGACACCGGAGCAGGGGCUGGGCUCAGCUUUCCGCUCCCACCGAGAUAAAGGGCUCGGGCUGCUGGGGAAGGGAGGGCCCUGCUCCCUGCAGAUCCCUGUGCUGAUUGCAGGGCUCGGAGCUGGGCUGGGGGGCCCAGAGGAAGCUGCAGUCACUCCUCAGCAGGAAGGAAAAUGACCACAUGGAAGGGUGGUUAGAGCAAGGGGGCAGGGGACAAAGGGAAAAUGCUCUUUGCCACUCCGGGGUUGCUCACAGGGCAGGAGGGGUCUUAAAAGUGACAUUCAAGCCAUGCAGCUUUUCCCAGGGUGCUUUUCAUGCCUCUCUUAAUGGGUGUUUUUAACCCAGCACAAUGGUGUGGUUUAUUGCAGCCCUUUGUGUGGUUUAUCUGAGCCCAGUAAAUGCUCAGAUCACUUGAGCACUGUGCCUGGCCUUGCACUACAGAGAUGAUCCCAUGGAGAGGCCUGGCUCAGAUAUUCUGGAUCUGAUAUUCUGAUAUCCUGACAUCCUGAUAUCCUGAUAUCCUGAUAUCCUGAUAUUCUGAUAUCCUGAUAUCCUGAUAUUCUGAUAUCCAGAUAUUCUGAUAUCCAGAUAUCCUGAUAUUCUGAUAUCCUGAUAUUCUGAUAUCCAGAUAUCCUGAUAUUCUGAUAUCCUGAUAUCCUGAUAUCCUUCCACUUGGAUUUUUAAAUGUUGGUACUGCAGGACUGCCUUGUUGUAUCUAAACAUGUUAAUCCAAAAUCCUCUUUGGGAUUUUGGGAAGUGAGAGUGUCUUGGAGCAGGAAAUAGGGGGAAUUAAGAGAUUAUUGUGUAUUUUUUAAUCAUGAAUCUCUGACCUGGCCAGCUUUGUGCUAUCAGUGUUUUCUUCAGGCUAAUUCUGACUAUAAAUGAAUUCUCUCUCAGCCCAUAAGUGGAACAAAGCUGCCAUGUGAGGCACAUCCCCAGGUGUCCCUGUCCCUGCUGCCCCAGCGGAUCUGCUGACCUUGUGCAGCACAGGAAGGCCAGGCCCAGGUGCUCUCACAUGGUCCCACCCCAGGGGCUGCCCCGUGUUUGUCACAGCAGCCCCAGCACGUGGGGGACACAGGAACACAGCUGGGACCUUGGAAAAAGGGAUGGAGAUGGGUUUGUUUGCUUCCAGGCUGGCAGAACAGGAAUUCCUGAGCUGCAUUUGUGCCCCAGCCCAGGGCCAGCUGCUGACGUGGUUCCCUGUCCUGGUGAGCUGCUCCUGCCCUGCAGUGACAUCUGAAGGGACAAUCCUGCUCCCUGACCUGCUCAGGUUUCUCUCACCCUCUUCUCCAAAAGCACCAGAUCUUCCAGGAGAACACCUCGCUGUGCCCAGUUUGUGAUGGGAGCCGACAGAACUGGAGCAGCUCUGGGUCACAACAAAUCCUGCCUCUGUUUCCUUGAGGAAUGAGUGAAGCCAGCAGCUCCAGGCCGUGUCCCCGUGUCCAUGUGGGAUUGUGCCCUCCCCUUGCCCCCGACAUUUCCAGUGUCCCUCAUUGGCCCAGGUUGUGUCCCCAAGGCCCCAGGCUGGGCUCACAUCAUCCCCCUGAGCAAUAACUCGCUGCUGCCUGUUUCCUGGGAGGAAAGGAAAGGCAGGAAGG